UACGAAGGGGGCUAGCGUUGUUCGGAAUUACUGGGCGUAAAGGGCGUGUAGGUGGUUUCGUAAGUCUGGCGUGAAAUUUCUCGGCUUAACCGAGGCAGGUCGUCGGAUACUGCGGAACUAGAGGACGGUAGAGGCGUGUGGAAUUCCGGGUGUAGUGGUGAAAUGCGUAGAGAUCCGGAGGAACACCAGUGGCGAAGGCGACACGCUGGGCCGUACCUGACACUGAGGCGCGAUAGCAUAGGGAGCAAACAGG
rnacentral:rRNA from 1 species